CUACGGGGCGCAGCAGUGGGGAAUAUUGCACAAUGGGCGCAAGCCUGAUGCAGCAAUGCCGCGUGUGUGAAGAAGGCCUGAGGGUUGUAAAGCACUUUCAAUCGUGAAGAAAAGCACAGGGUUAAUACCCCUGUGUCUUGACGUUAUCGAUACAAGAAGCACCGGCUAACUCCGUGCCAGCAGCCGCGGUAAUACGGAGGGUGCAAGCGUUAAUCGGAAUUACUGGGCGUAAAGCGUGCGUAGGCGGUCUGUUAAGUCAGAUGUGAAAGCCCCGGGCUUAACCUGGGAACUGCAUUUGAUACUGGCAGGCUAGAAUAUGAUAGAGGGGGGUAGAAUUCCUGGUGUAGCGGUGAAAUGCGUAGAUAUCAGGAGGAAUACCAGUGGCGAAGGCGGCCCCCUGGAUCAAUAUUGACGCUGAGGUACGAAAGCGUGGGUAGCGAACAGGAUUAGAUACCCUCGUAGUC
rnacentral:rRNA from 1 species